GCCUUAGCUCAGUUGGUAGAGCAUCGCAUUCGUAAUGCGGGGGUCACAGGUUCGAGUCCUGUAGGCGG
rnacentral:tRNA from 2 species